CUUAGUGCUUUCAGUAUCAAAACCGCUAUAAUUAAAACACCACUAAAAUGAAUUUGUUAAUAGUAUGAAAAUAACAGUUUUGUGUCGAUAACAUCCAUGCUAAAAUUUUACUAAUCUUUUCUUCUUUCCUUGUGCUUCCCCGGAAACAGUAAGUAUAUCAAUGAUUUCCUAAAGUCACCUGUAGAUGAUCCAAUUAUCUUCUCCGACUUUGUGGACGCUCCGUUACAUGUGGACCUUCCUGACGUAACACGUCAGCCGAUGUCGAACCCCCGGACAUGCAUGGAGGACAAUGAUGCGCCGCGAUCUCCGAAGCGUCAGCUGGGUUCAGACCACUAUGAUGAUUGUCCCAGAUCUCCAAAAUCUCCACGCAAUGUGCCGUGCAUGACGGAUAUCGGGACGUUGGUGCGACGUGUGAGAAAUUACAACUUGUCCCGUGGGAUCCAACACCAGAAAAUGGAUCAACUCUAAGAAUCAACAAUGACUAAGGCCGUGCGGUCUGGUGUAUCGCUUGCUCAGUGUUGUAUUUGUCAUACUCGUGCUGCACUUUGAAAGUAUCAAAUUACUUAUCUAAUGACAUUUAAUAUUACAUCAUUAAACACUGGUUUUCAUUUCCAGUUUGAAAGAAAUUUUACUGUGCUGUUGUAAAUAUAGAAAUGUUUGUCAUCAAUUUCACAAAUUUAAGUAAAUCAAAAAUAUUCAAAUAUAAAAUUGUUAUCCUCAGAAAUUUUAUCAUCAUGAGUAUCGAAAUUUGUGUAAUUUCAUCAUUUUGGAGCAAUUGUUAUAACUUAUAAGCAUUAACAAAAGUGCAUGUUCGAAUAAAAAUGAUCAUAUAAGGACGUGCCACAUAUUCCACUAUAACAAACAAACUGUCAAAUCCCUGUGAAUAAGAGAAAUUAAUUAAUUUUAUUAUUACAGCUUUGGCUUAAUUAAUCAAAUUAAUAUUGUAACUUUUUUGGCUACAGACCUUGAAUAAAUGUCCAAUAGAAUAUCUAAUUUGAAUACUGUAUAUAUUAUUAUCAUUAUAAAGUAAUAAAACGACAAUGAGCUAUAAAACAGUAUGACUUGUGUACCUUUAAUGACCAUACAAGGGGGAUCCGUAUUAUAUCAAAAUACAAAAUUGAAAAUAAAUAUGUUGCACCAGGCCGGUCACUUUGUCAAUGAAUCAAGAAUUCAUCAACUGCCAAAUGUGGUUUACAUUUAAAACUAAUGAGAUGUUGUUCGCUCAAAAGAAUGUGUAUCAAACACCAAUAAGUAGAGGCUCUAUGUGGAAGGGCAGUAUAAUACCAGAUAUUGUCAAUUAUUUAAGUUUAAUGUUUUAAUAAGGAUCAAACUCCAGUGAACAGUUCAUAGUUAUCUGUAACACGAAAAUUAUUCCAGUUUUGAAUCUUUUUUAAGCUAAAUGAAUAAAAAUUAGGUAAUAAAAUUUAUAUGAAAACCAAAGUUAUUGUUAUUUCAUAAUUUUUAGUGCCAAAUUGCAGAUUUUUUAUUAUGUGUAUAUAUUGUAUCUGCUUGAUAACUUGAUUAUUAAAGAAGAUAAUUGUCUAAUUUCUCAACCUAUCAUGGACAAGUAUUCAUAAAUGUGCUCUAGUACGUGUUGCAUGCUUGAUCUUAGAUUUUCAUCAAGUAAUGUUUAUGAAGAUAUCUGUGUGAGGUUUUAUAGCUAUGCUUUAAUUUUGUAAAAUAAAUGUGAUAUAUAGUACCAAAAAUUCUAAUUCAGAUACUUUCAUGUUUGACAUUAAUUUGGUAAUAGUGGGUUAUCUCCCUUUAUGAUUAUCUCCCCCUUAUAAAGGCUUGAAUUAUGAACUUUGUGAUUUAUAUAAUAUUUAACAGUUGAAAUGUUAUUUUUAGAUAAUGGAAAACAAAGUUAAACAAACAUACCUCUAAAACUUUUAAAUUAUUUUUUGUUCAUGUAAAAAUUUUAGUAAAUAUCCUGUCACAAAAGAAUUCAGAACAAUAUAAAAAAAGCUUGUAUUUCAUUUGUUAAGGAUUAGUCUAUAAUGCAUGUAUGUGAUGUUAUUGUUACCAACAAGUUGUCCUGUCACAAAGAAAUGAGUUCAAUGUACACGUAUGUAAGUUAAUUUGUUUUAUUUAUUUGUUUACAGUUACUAUUGUGAUUUGUAUAUAUCUGGUAUUUGUUUGUUAUGUUAAUGUUAUUACGUAGACAAUAUUACGAUAUUACGAUAUUACGAUAUUACGAUAUUACACCAUGUAAUUUUACAACAACUCCUUUCAUUUUUUACCUGUAAUGUAACAAGUUAAUGAUCAUUAUGUUUAUAAAAUUCUUGAUUUUUUUUAGUUACUAUAUUUAUCUGCUGCUGAUAGAAUAUUUUGUUUUAAGUCUAUUAAAUCUAUAUAAUUUAAAUCGUUGACCAGCGAGACCAUUUUGUUGACAUGAAUCCCUCUCUGUAAUCAGAUUGUACACGUUAUGUACAUACAGUGUAGAUUUAAAGAAAAAAGAGAGUAAAACCUGUCUUUAAUGGCCACUCAUGGAGAGGAGAAAGUGUUCUUUAUAGACAGGUGGUCUCAAUAAAGAGGUUCAUAUAUAGUAAAUAAAGGCCACUCAAGGGAGCAGAGAAAUGUUUUUUAUAUACAGGUGGUCUCUAUAUGGAGGUUCAUAUACUGUUAAACCUGUCUACAAAGGCCAUUCAAGGGAGCAGAGAAAAGUGGUCUUUAUAGACAGGUGGCCUUUAUAGAUGUUCAUAAGUUUAAUUGUUAUAUUAAUUUCACAACCCAAACAGGUAUUAUAGACAGGUUUUCUUUUUAUACAGACAGCUUUAAGACAGGGAAGUAGGUUCAAAUAUCUCAUAUUUUAUUAAUGUGGUGAAUUACAACUGAGACACCGGAAAAACAAGUUAUAAUUGCGUUGAUGAAUCCUAAAUUAUGUACUAAAAAGGUGACUUUAAGAGUUAUGGUAUAAAUACUAACAAAUAAUUUGUAGGAGACAAAAACAACUAAGUAAGCCAAGACAAACUUCAUUAUUAAAAGGUUUGUUACUCUCUUUGCUGUUUGUGUGACGUAAUUUAUUUCAAGGAUUUUUGUAUUAUAAAGGGAAGAAAACUUUUACUGUAGUGUAUCCUAGAGGAGCACUCUGACAAGUCUAUAUUCAAUAAGAUUGGGAGGGGGAGAGGGAUUGGGACCAGCACCAAUAUGGAAUCUGCUAAAGUUUUUUUUCUAUUUGUUUUUAUUUCCUUCCCAAUAUUUUUGUUCCCCUCAAUUUUCUUCCCUGCAUUUUUGUUUACCUUAUAUCAAUCUAAUUAAAAUCAGACUUCUAAUUACCGCUCCCCUACGAUACACUGCAAUACAAGUAUUGUAGUGCAGUGUGUAUUGUAUAGUAUCGUAGAGGAAUGGAAAUUACAAGUCUAAUUUUAAUUAGAUUGACCUCAUAUGUUUAAUUUAUUCCAACAUCAUCCAAGACUGACCCAAUUAACUGAACAAUGAUUAAUCUUAUUUACAUUUUUGUAUUGUUAGAUACUUCAACCUCUCUAGUGACUUAAUUCAUUGUAACUUUAAGUGUACUUGUUAUUCGAGAUAUUGGUCGCUCAAAAUAUGUGUAUCUAACACCAAUAAGUUGAGGCUCUAUGUGGAAGGGCUGUAUAAUACCAAAUAUUGUCAAUUAUUCAAAUUUAAUGUUUUUAUUUGAGAUAAGAAACUGACAAGGUUGAAGACAAUGACAGACAUCCUCCUCUUACAAGAUAACCUGUCCCUGUGUUAGUGGUAGUCCGAGGGUCAUGUUGAGGUGAUUAGGGCCCGAUCACCUCCAUUACUCCGCACACCACUGAUGUACGACCUACAGGUGAUGGUGUAACUAGUAAUGAGGGGUUCUGUUGAAUCUUCAAAAUUUAUUGUCAGUAAAUUUAGGGUGUUGCUGAAUCUUUAAAUUCUUGUCAGUAAAUUUAGGGUGUUGCUGAAUCUUCAAAAUUCUUGUCAGUAAAUUUAGGGUGUUGCUGAAUCUUCAAAAUUCUUGUCAGUAAAUUUAGGGUGUUGCUGAAUCUUUAAAUUUCUUGUCAGUAAAUUUUGGGUAUAGUUAACUUUAGAUGUAGAAAAAUCACAAUAUAUUGUCAUAUUAUAAACAGCUUUCCUUUUAAAUUUGACAAAAAUUCACCCAUUCAAGUAUAUGUAUUUCAAUACACUCCUGAUUAUAUUGUCAACCAUAGGUUAACUUAUUAACUAAUUAACAACAUUUUAUUAAACGUAAUUAUUGGUGUGCUUUGUUUGUAGACAGACAGCGCUCCUGAUUAUAUCAUCGUUAACCAUAGAUUAACUUAUUAUUUUUCCGAUAUUGUUACCCUGAUAUUAAAACCAGUAUGUUAACAAUACUUCAUUAAACAUAAUUAUAGGUGUGCUAUGUUAGCUGACGCUCCCGAUUAUAUUGUUAACCAUAGAUUAACUUAUUAACUUUCCAAUAUUGUUAUCCUGAUAUUAAAACCAAUAUGUUAACAUAUAAAACAUAAUUAAUUACUUAAUAAUUAAUAUUAUUACUAAUUAAUACUUAAUAAUUAAUUGAUAAUUAUAAUUGUGCUAUGUUAGUGUAGACAGACGGCGCUCCCGAUUAUAUUGUUAACCAUAGAUUAACUUUCCGAUAUUGUUACCCCGAUAUUAAAACUAAUACACAUGUAUAUCAAUACACAUUAUAUUAAUGUACUGUUUGAAUGACUAUGUCUUUAUCAUGUAAUAUUUUUGUCACACCUGUAAUCAACAGGUGACCGGUGUCCAGUCUGUUAAAUAUGUUUACUGUGAUUUCACAUCUGUCGUCCAUGUCGGUUUUAGACAAACUCUGCUGUUACGUUACAGACCAUUGACAAUUGUAAAUCUGUUGCUGAAGCUUCCAAUAAAACAAAGAAAUUAAA